rnacentral:rRNA from 1 species
UACGUAGGGUCCGAGCGUUGUCCGGAAUUACUGGGCGUAAAGAGCUCGUAGGUGGUUUGUCACGUUGUUCGUGAAAACCCACAGCUCAACUGUGGGCGUGCGAGCGAUACGGGCAGACUAGAGUACUGCAGGGGAGACUGAAUCCUGGUGUAGCGGUGGGAUGCGCAGAUAUCAGGAGGAACACCGGUGGCGAAGGCGGGUCUCUGGGCAGUAACUGACGCUGAGGAGCGAAAGCGUGGGGAGCGAACAGG